rnacentral:rRNA from 1 species
UACGGGGGGGGUAAGCGUUGUUCGGAAUUACUGGGCGUAAAGAGCUCGUAGGUGGUUUGUCGCGUUGUUCGUGAAAUGCCACAGCUUAACUGUGGGCGUGCGGGCGAUACGGGCAGACUGGAGUACUGCAGGGGAGACUGGAAUUCCUGGUGUAGCGGUGGAAUGCGCAGAUAUCAGGAGGAACACCGGUGGCGAAGGCGGGUCUCUGGGCAGUAACUGACGCUGAGGAGCGAAAGCGUGGGGAGCGAACAGG